ACGCUCGACACCUACGGGAGGCAGCAGUGGGGAAUAUUGCACAAUGGGGGAAACCCUGAUGCAGCAACGCCGCGUGAAGGAAGACGGUUUUCGGAUUGUAAACUUCUGUUCUUAGUGAAGAUAGUGACGGUAGCUAAGGAGCAAGCCACGGCUAACUACGUGUCAGCAGCCGACGGUAAUCUGAGCGGGCUGGCAAGGC
rnacentral:rRNA from 1 species